CUUUGGGUUGACGACCAGGAGGAGGAGCAUCCUAAUCCUAACAACCAGGCUUUCCAUCAUGGACGACACGUUUGCCGUUGGUUUUUUUUUGGUAUUGCAGUAGAAUCAGGUGUGUGUGUAGUCGUUGUUAGUUCUUCGUCUUCUCUUUGGUUUAAUUCAGUCCCAACGUCACGGUCUCAUGAUGGAAGUUUUAUGGAGAGUUUGGCCACACCCACAUGUGGGGAAGAGUGACAGGUCAGGCCUGGUGUCAAAGGUCACAAGGUCAACAGUACAGAGAACUCCACCAAUCACACUGGCCUAGGUCUGCUCUGUCCACGGAGUGAGAAAACAGCGCCCUCUCUGUUUGACCGUGUCUAGUUUGAGUGCUUUAUUUUGAUGUUGAAGUCACCGACUUCACCUGGUGUCUGAACCCUGUAGAACCCUUGGGGGGAGGGCGGGGGGUGACGACGACAACGACAAAGAACUCAUUUCUCAGGAACUUCACUGCGUUCUUCAAGCGUCACUCACGGCACUUCCUGUCAGAGCGGCGUUUGUUGCGUUGAUCAGAGGCGGCUGUGUGACAGGGAGAGUGUGGCGCAGGAACAUUUCACGGGGAUCUGGGUCUGGACACUGAGCUGAAGGAGGACUUCCUGUUCCACAUGUGGACUGUGAUGGCAGAACGCCAGCAGCUGUGUGUGUGUGUGUGUGUGUGUUUUGUUCCUGGUGGCAUUUUAAGUAUUUUACGCAUUUUCUAAAACAAAAAUUUCAGCUUCGUUCACGUCGUUGAAAGGAGGGUUGAAUGAAAACAAACGACGACGACGACGAGUGUGGUGACGGUUGAUGGAAACAGAUCUGAGAACUGCUUUUAGAAACACAGCCUUUGUUGUUUCCUGUUCCUUUUUGUAUUGAACGACAGCCUGAGUUGUGAGUUCUAUUUCAGUUUCAGUUGGUGCUCGGCACAGUCUGUGUUCACAUCCCUUCUUCUGUAUCGUAUCGCCCUAAUUUUCACAGUUUUUUUGAUAAACACUCCGUACUAAGACCUGGAAGUGUUGAGGUGUUGAACAAAGCCACAGUGACUUCUGUAAUUAGAACAUCCUGUCUCUUCUUUGAUGACUUUGAUGGUGGUGUUUUUGGAGAGGACUCGUCGCUGCCUCAGGAAUCUGAGAGCUAAUGUCAUGCUGCUGGAAAUUGAGUUUGGUCUGAUGCCACUGAGGGGAGACUUCCCUGCAGCUGCUGCAGGAGGAACUCAUUUAUAUUCCCAUGAUUGGAUUCAGGAGCACGAGCACCUCCACCUCCACCUCCACCUCCACCUCCAGCUCCACCCUCUGGUGCUGUGCAGCCACUGCCACCCUGAGCUUCUUCCUUCAGUCUUGAUCCGUCUGUGUAAAUGUGUGUCAUGUGGUUAAAAGACCAUGUGCUCAGAUCCCUCCUACUUUCCAGACGGCCUCCUCCUCCUCCUCCUCCUGCUCCUCCUUCUUUCAUGCGACCUUUCUGACCCCUUUAGCACUGAUUGGUGUAACGUGGCUCCUGGCUUGGCUGCACGAUCUUCCACUGGUCCGUCGGUCGUACUCUGUAGAUCAGCUGCACUUCGUCGGCAAUUUUUACAGAAACGACCAGCAUAUUGCUAAAGAAAAAAAAAAGAUUCUUCUUUCACUGACCCUAGCUGCAGAAGUGUUCCACUUCCUGUUUGGAUAAUGUUUAAGAUUUUUCUUUCCUCUUACUUUCACCCAGCAGCAGCAGGGUGGCACAGCUCGGUCUCUGCAUCGAGACUUGGCUGCUGCCUGACCCUCAAAUGUCCCAGCAGCCCCAGCUCAUCUGCACUGAAGUGUAAUUUGCCGCAGCACUAAACCAGUGUAAUAUAAGGCCAGCCUGCUGUCAGGUGAACCAGUUGUCCACCGGGGGGCCACGUCAUAUGAUGAAUGUCAGUCUCUACUGUUGUAGAGGUUAAUCUUCCUCCACGGAGCCAGAAUCAAAGUGAACUCCAAGGACAUGGAGUCCAGCCUGAAGGCCGCAGACCGCAGUCGGCCGAGGAACGGGGGAACGACGCGCUCUCCCAGAGAACCUGAAGUUCACUGAAGGUCAGGCUGCGCUCACACUGCAGUUUAUCUGUGAUCAAAUCAUAAAGAGUCAGAACCAGGUGACGUACGGACGAUCCACGGGCGCCGUGAACGGACACGAGCGCCGAUUCGUUUUAGCCGUUGUCAAGAUUUAAUGUUGACG